rnacentral:rRNA from 1 species
GGUUAAGCGACUAAGCGUACACGGUGGAUGCCCUGGCAGUCAGAGGCGAUGAAGGACGUGCUAAUCUGCGAUAAGCGUCGGUAAGGUGAUAUGAACCGUUAUAACCGGCGAUUUCCGAAUGGGGAAACCCAGUGUGUUUCGAUACACUAUCAUUAACUGAAUCCAUAGGUUAAUGAGGCGAACCGGGGGAACUGAAACAUCUAAGUACCCCGAGGAAAAGAAAUCAACCGAGAUUCCCCCAGUAGCGGCGAGCGAACGGGGAGGAGCCCAGAGCCUGAAUCAGUGUGUGUGUUAGUGGAAGCGUCUGGAAAGGCGCGCGAUACAGGGUGACAGCCCCGUACACAAAAAUGCACAUAUUGUGAGCUCGAUGAGUAGGGCGGGACACGUGGUAUCCUGUCUGAAUAUGGGGGGACCAUCCUCCAAGGCUAAAUACUCCUGACUGACCGAUAGUGAACCAGUACCGUGAGGGAAAGGCGAAAAGAACCCCGGCGAGGGGAGUGAAAAAGAACCUGAAACCGUGUACGUACAAGCAGUGGGAGCACGCUUAGGCGUGUGACUGCGUACCUUUUGUAUAAUGGGUCAGCGACUUAUAUUCUGUAGCAAGGUUAACCGAAUAGGGGAGCCGAAGGGAAACCGAGUCUUAACUGGGCGUUAAGUUGCAGGGUAUAGACCCGAAACCCGGUGAUCUAGCCAUGGGCAGGUUGAAGGUUGGGUAACACUAACUGGAGGACCGAACCGACUAAUGUUGAAAAAUUAGCGGAUGACUUGUGGCUGGGGGUGAAAGGCCAAUCAAACCGGGAGAUAGCUGGUUCUCCCCGAAAGCUAUUUAGGUAGCGCCUCGUGAAUUCAUCUCCGGGGGUAGAGCACUGUUUCGGCAAGGGGGUCAUCCCGACUUACCAACCCGAUGCAAACUGCGAAUACCGGAGAAUGUUAUCACGGGAGACACACGGCGGGUGCUAACGUCCGUCGUGAAGAGGGAAACAACCCAGACCGCCAGCUAAGGUCCCAAAGUCAUGGUUAAGUGGGAAACGAUGUGGGAAGGCCCAGACAGCCAGGAUGUUGGCUUAGAAGCAGCCAUCAUUUAAAGAAAGCGUAAUAGCUCACUGGUCGAGUCGGCCUGCGCGGAAGAUGUAACGGGGCUAAACCAUGCACCGAAGCUGCGGCAGCGACGCUUAUGCGUUGUUGGGUAGGGGAGCGUUCUGUAAGCCUGCGAAGGUGUACUGUGAGGUAUGCUGGAGGUAUCAGAAGUGCGAAUGCUGACAUAAGUAACGAUAAAGCGGGUGAAAAGCCCGCUCGCCGGAAGACCAAGGGUUCCUGUCCAACGUUAAUCGGGGCAGGGUGAGUCGACCCCUAAGGCGAGGCCGAAAGGCGUAGUCGAUGGGAAACAGGUUAAUAUUCCUGUACUUGGUGUUACUGCGAAGGGGGGACGGAGAAGGCUAUGUUGGCCGGGCGACGGUUGUCCCGGUUUAAGCGUGUAGGCUGGUUUUCCAGGCAAAUCCGGAAAAUCAAGGCUGAGGCGUGAUGACGAGGCACUACGGUGCUGAAGCAACAAAUGCCCUGCUUCCAGGAAAAGCCUCUAAGCAUCAGGUAACAUCAAAUCGUACCCCAAACCGACACAGGUGGUCAGGUAGAGAAUACCAAGGCGCUUGAGAGAACUCGGGUGAAGGAACUAGGCAAAAUGGUGCCGUAACUUCGGGAGAAGGCACGCUGAUACGUAGGUGAAGUCCCUCGCGGAUGGAGCUGAAAUCAGUCGAAGAUACCAGCUGGCUGCAACUGUUUAUUAAAAACACAGCACUGUGCAAACACGAAAGUGGACGUAUACGGUGUGACGCCUGCCCGGUGCCGGAAGGUUAAUUGAUGGGGUCAGCGCAAGCGAAGCUCUUGAUCGAAGCCCCGGUAAACGGCGGCCGUAACUAUAACGGUCCUAAGGUAGCGAAAUUCCUUGUCGGGUAAGUUCCGACCUGCACGAAUGGCGUAAUGAUGGCCAGGCUGUCUCCACCCGAGACUCAGUGAAAUUGAACUCGCUGUGAAGAUGCAGUGUACCCGCGGCAAGACGGAAAGACCCCGUGAACCUUUACUAUAGCUUGACACUGAACAUUGAGCCUUGAUGUGUAGGAUAGGUGGGAGGCUUUGAAGUGUGGACGCCAGUCUGCAUGGAGCCGACCUUGAAAUACCACCCUUUAAUGUUUGAUGUUCUAACGUGGACCCGUAAUCCGGGUUGCGGACAGUGUCUGGUGGGUAGUUUGACUGGGGCGGUCUCCUCCUAAAGAGUAACGGAGGAGCACGAAGGUUGGCUAAUCCUGGUCGGACAUCAGGAGGUUAGUGCAAUGGCAUAAGCCAGCUUGACUGCGAGCGUGACGGCGCGAGCAGGUGCGAAAGCAGGUCAUAGUGAUCCGGUGGUUCUGAAUGGAAGGGCCAUCGCUCAACGGAUAAAAGGUACUCCGGGGAUAACAGGCUGAUACCGCCCAAGAGUUCAUAUCGACGGCGGUGUUUGGCACCUCGAUGUCGGCUCAUCACAUCCUGGGGCUGAAGUAGGUCCCAAGGGUAUGGCUGUUCGCCAUUUAAAGUGGUACGCGAGCUGGGUUUAGAACGUCGUGAGACAGUUCGGUCCCUAUCUGCCGUGGGCGCUGGAGAACUGAGGGGGGCUGCUCCUAGUACGAGAGGACCGGAGUGGACGCAUCACUGGUGUUCGGGUUGUCAUGCCAAUGGCACUGCCCGGUAGCUAAAUGCGGAAGAGAUAAGUGCUGAAAGCAUCUAAGCACGAAACUUGCCCCGAGAUGAGUUCUCCCUGACUCCUUGAGAGUCCUGAAGGAACGUUGAAGACGACGACGUUGAUAGGCCGGGUGUGUAAGCGCAGCGAUGCGUUGAGCUAACCGGUACUAAUGAACCGUGAGGCUUAACCUU